AAUAUGAAAUUUUAUUAAAAGAAAAAAGGGUGAAAAGAACAAAGUUUUGUCCAUCUUUGUUCAUCAUAGCCGAAAGUUAGAGAAGAGAAAGGAGAGGAGAAAGCUCUUGAAUGUUCGGUCACUUGGGGAAGAAAAUUGAAGGAAAUCCCCAACCAUAGUGGGCUUGGAGCUGUGAGGGAAUUCGGAGUGGCCACCCGUUCUGAAAGUUUGAUUUUCUUCUGGUGAACUGGACAUCCUUUUAUUUACGCUUGAAGUUUUGGGUUUUUAAAUGUAAUAAAGCCGCUUAAUUAUUUUUGAUGGUUUUAAUAUGUAUUACUAAGAUAGGUAUUACUUA